GCAUAUCAAUAAGCGGAGGAAAAGAAGAUAACAAUGAUUCCUUAGUAACGGCGAGUGAAGGGGGAAAAGCUCAAAUUUUAAAUCGGCGUAGGUUUUACCUAGUCGAGUUGUAAUUUGAAGAAGCGUUUUCUACGUCCUGGUCGGCCCAAAUCCUUUGGGAUAAGGUAUCAUGGAGGGUGAGAAUCCCGUCCGGUUGACCUUAGGAUGUUUUACGUGACGCUCUCUAAGAGUCGAGUUGUUUGGGAUUGCAGCUCAAAAUGGGAGGUAAAUUUCUCCUAAGGCUAAAUACAGGCGAGAGACCGAUAGCGAACAAGUACCGUGAGGGAAAGAUGAAAAGAACUUUGAAAAGAGAGUCAAACAGUACGUGAAAUUGUUGAAAGGGAAACGAUUGAAGCCAGUCGUACCGUCGGGAAUUCAACUUCUUAGGUGCUUGUCGUGGGUGACGUUGAGCUUCGCGGCCUUCGUUGCUUUGCGUUAUGGUACUUUUGUUGUGCACUUUUCCGUAUGGUAGGUCAAUAUCGAUUUUGAUCGUCAUAAAAUGAUCGGAGGAAUGUGGCUUCGAUCUCGUAUCGGAGUGUUAUAGCCUUUGGUAGAUGUGACGAUUGGGAUCGAGGAUUGCAACGAAUACCCUUUGGGCUAUCUGUCUGACCUCUGAAAGUCGCUCGGGUGUCGAAAGCGUGCUUAUGACAUUCUAGUUGGCGGUCAAAAGGUUAGAACGCGAUUACAUUCGUUAAGGAUGUUGACGUAAUGGCUUUAAACGAC
rnacentral:rRNA from 1 species